rnacentral:rRNA from 1 species
CAGCCGCCGCGGGAAUACGUAGGGUGCAAGCGUUAAUCGGAAUUACUGGGCGUAAAGCGUGCGCAGGCGGUUAUAUAAGUCAGAUGUGAAAUCCCCGGGCUCAACCUGGGAACUGCAUUUGAGACUGUAUGGCUAGAGUGUGUCAGAGGGGGGUAGAAUUCCACGUGUAGCAGUGAAAUGCGUAGAUAUGUGGAGGAAUACCGAUGGCGAAGGCAGCCCCCUGGGAUAACACUGACGCUCAUGCACGAAAGCGUGGGGAGCAAACAGGAUUAGAUACCCCUGUAGUCCCUGUCUCUUAUAC